GACGAACGCUGGCGGCGUGCUUAACACAUGCAAGUCGAACGGAAAGGCCCUGCUUUUGUGGGGUGCUCGAGUGGCGAACGGGUGAGUAACACGUGAGUAACCUGCCCUUGACUUUGGGAUAACUUCAGGAAACUGGGGCUAAUACCGGAAAGGAGCUCCGCCUGAAGGGGGGGGGUGGGAAAGUUUCGGCGGUUGGGGAUGGACUCGCGGCUUAUCAGCUUGUUGGUGGGGUAGUGGCUUACCAAGGCUUUGACGGGUAGCCGGCCUGAGAGGGUGACCGGCCACAUUGGGACUGAGAUACGGCCCAGACUCCUACGGGAGGCAGCAGUGGGGAAUAUUGCACAAUGGGCGGAAGCCUGAUGCAGCAACGCCGCGUGCGGGAUGACGGCCUUCGGGUUGUAAACCGCUUUCGCCUGUGACGAAGCGUGAGUGACGGUAAUGGGUAAAGAAGCACCGGCUAACUACGUG
rnacentral:rRNA from 1 species